rnacentral:rRNA from 1 species
AGUUUGAUCAUGGCUCAGAUUGAACGCUGGCGGCACGCCUUACACAUGCAAGUCGAACGGCAGCGGACCUUCGGGUGCCGGCGAGUGGCGAACGGGUGAGUAAUGCAUCGGAACGUGCCAUUGAGUGGGGGAUAACGUAGCGAAAGUUACGCUAAUACCGCAUAUUCUGUGAGCAGGAAAGCAGGGGACCGCAAGGCCUUGCGCUCUUUGAGCGGCCGAUGUCAGAUUAGCUAGUUGGUGAGGUAAAGGCUUACCAAGGCGACGAUCUGUAGCGGGUCUGAGAGGAUGAUCCGCCACACUGGAACUGAGACACGGUCCAGACUCCUACGGGAGGCAGCAGUGGGGAAUUUUGGACAAUGGGCGCAAGCCUGAUCCAGCCAUGCCGCGUGAGUGAAGAAGGCCUUCGGGUUGUAAAGCUCUUUCGGCCGGGAAGAAAUCGCAUGGGUUAAUACCCUGUGUGGAUGACGGUACCGGAAUAAGAAGCACCGGCUAACUACGUG